AGAAGUUAAAAAAUAAUUAUACUUUUUCAAUUUUACAUUUCUAUCGAAAAUGAAGUUCAUAUCAUUUCAUAAUUCAUAAGAUAACAUCAUAUAAUUAUAACCAAAAGUGAAAUAUUCACAUAAGGUUGUAAAAUAUCAUCUCAAAAUCAUAAUAUCACAUCAGCUGAUAAUCAUGCUAUAAUCACAUCACAUUAAACGUGCUGAAAAAUCCACCAAAAAUAUACCCUCUGACUGAAAUAUAUAAUCCGCAUCUCGGGCUAACAACUUUCGCCACGGGCCUUUGGCUCCCUCCAUGGGCGAAAGCCGAUUUCAAAGACUUCUCAUAAUCAAUUCUAGAACACGGUUAAGGCCCCUCUGUGAACUAUAUGUACACGAUCAAGAUCAAUGUCCGGUCAAAACCCUCCGUGUAGGAUAGAACACGGACAAAACCCCUUUGUGAACUAGAAGAAGUAUAUAAUCAUGGGUACUUUUCUAGCCGAUCUCAAUAUUGCAUGUCUCACGUACCAAACAAAUCUCAAUAUCACAUGUCUUACAUAACAAGUCACAAAUAUACCAUAAAUAAUUUUUGAUAUUCCACAUGUAUCAUAAUAAAAGAGAUUUCUAUAAUAACCAUAUAAUUCGAACACAUAAUUGCAUAUAAUUGCACAUACUUUAACAAUAUACUUAAUUUAUAUAUACUUUAAAAAUAUUUAUAUUUUUCCACUCACAAUACUAUGUUCGCAAAAUCAACCCAAUUGAUAAGCUGUUCUGAUGUCAGUAUCGUCGUCUGAAAUACGAUAUAAUUUUUAAAUAAAGAAUUAAUUAUUUUAAAUAAUUUUAAUAAUUAAAUAGACAAUACCCAAACUUAAUCAUUUCACAUUUAAGUGAUUUUCAUAGUAUAUUUAAUCAUUAAAACUAAUUUUUCUUUCAUCUUACUCAAUUUCAUAGUUUAUUAUACUUAACCCCUUCAAUAAAAUUGAAUUUAAUCUAACAAUCCAACAACUAUAAAAUCAAACAUAACUUGACAAUAGAUAACUUUUUACUUACCUUUCAAAAUUGAGGAAUUCAAGCUUAAUAACGUAAAUCACUUAUUUUCUAACAACAUAAACGAACUUUCCUAUUUUUAUUUUUUUUCCCUCUUCUCCUUUUUUUCUUCUUCUUUCUUUCUCUUUUCCCUCCCUGCCCUCGUUUGCUUGGUGUGUGGGUUUGUGGGAGAAAUGUAUAGGUUUUGAACAUGGGUGGAUUGGUAUAAAUCAAUCCACCGCCUCUCUCUUCUUUUUUGUUUUUUAUUCUUUUUUUUUUUUGGGCUAAAGUUUGACUUUUUUUUUUCUUUUUUUUUGUUUUGUUUUUUUCAAAAUUAAGGUAUUACAUAUCUGAACACUAGUUAUUGGAUUAAUUGUGUCAAGAUUUGUAUGUCAAGUACCUUAGCAAGGAACUCAAGGCAUGAGUUGCCGAAAUCUUCCAGCUUUCCAUCAUCAAAAUUCUCCAAUAUGAUUUUUAGGUACUUGAAAUUGCUCAUUCGAGAUAUAUGGGUGCGUAAGCAUGCAUUUUUGGGAACAAAUUACAUAUCUGAACACUAGUUAUUGGAUUAAUUGUGUCAAGAUUUGUAUGUCAAGUACCUUAGCAAGGAACUCAAGGCAUGAGUUGCCGAAAUCUUCCAGCUUUCCAUCAUCAAAAUUCUCCAAUAUGAUUUUUAGGUACUUGAAAUUGCUCAUUCGAGAUAUAUGGGUGCGUAAGCAUGCAUUUUUGGGAACAAGAAAUUCAAAAUUUAUCUGCAAAAACUAGGUACAAGAACAAAGCAAAAAAGGUUGGAUCAUAAUAAUUAGUACAUAUUAAUGCAAAACACACGUAUAAGAAAGCAAAACACACAUGUAAUGUUCGGAUGGACCAAAGUAAGAAAUGUGGACAGAUGACUGUCAAAUUAAUUUGUCGAGAAGCUGUCAUAUGUCGAAAAUGACAGUUAUAUCGAUAGAUGACUCAACUCAUCUAUCAAUAUUUAGUCAUCUAUCGAGGAUAAUUGAAACCAACUGUCAAAAACGACAAAUAGGUCACAUAACUGAUCUAUCGAGAAAUAGUCAUAUAUCCAUAAUUCAUAAUUGUAAAUACUUUUAUUGUGACAAAUUAAAUAGUUCGUUUAAAAUACUUUUAACGUAGAGGACAAUACAGUAAGAUAUCUCAAAUGUACAAAAGUUGUGAAAAUCAACACUUCUACGUGCAGGGCAAGGAAAUUAACAUAAAAGAAAACAUGAAAAAUAAUAACGAGGAGAGGGAAUAGUUGAAUCUCUAUCUAGCAUAUCAAAAUAAUCCAAUUAAGUGCACAAAGUUAUAUAAAGCAUAAAUGAAUUCAAGAAUAUAUGACAUGUAGCAGUACAGUUAUAUCAUCCUAAACACAUGAAAUUAUUAUUUUAUAUUCACCAUAAAAUGACAUGAGGUAGAAAUUUUUUAACAUUGAAUAUUGAGUCGACUAUAUAUAUGUAUGUAUGAAUGGAAUGACAUUAUAUUUUCUGGCAUUAAAAUGCUGACUUAUCUCCCAAGUUUAUUUAGGGAGCCAUAGUGCCCCAAAAAGAAAAACUCAAGAUUACAACUAUAUAAACUUCUGUUACGUGACCAUGAAUCAAAGGGGAUUACAAAGAUAUAUAGUUGAUUUUUCAUAGAAGUUACUUAUCUUCUUUUUCAAUACAUGUAGGCAUUACCGUGAAACGGAAAACUAAGUUGAAAAUCGCUAAAAUGAAAAACUAACAUAUCCAUUAAAAAUAGAUCAAAUGUUUCAAAGAUUUGAAUUUAAAAAUGAAAAUAGUAUAUUAAAGCCAAAAAACCACCUUUUAUAGUCCUUCUUUAAUACAUUUUGCCAAAUUAGCUGUAGCUUGAUGAAGAACAUAAAGAGCAGAGCCAGGGAAUAAAUGCUCAUUAAUAUAAAAAAUCUUUAAAGUUUUUAAAGUCACUAAAUAACAACUGAAUAAUACCAUCAGUAAAAGGAUCCAUUUGAAUCCUACUAAACAACUACAUUGAAAUGAUAUUCAUGUCAGACUCUGAUUCAUUUAGUACAAAUCUUUUGCCAACUAUCAAUUGCACAGGCAAAAGAACUCCCGAACUGCACCAAGCGAUUUAGAGACUGUUGCAAGUCUUGAAACAUCUUUCCAACAAAUAGAUAGAUCAUAUUGUAUCUCUAGGUUUAUUCACUUAUUUGUCUAUAUAAGAAAUCACCGAGUGUGAGAGAUAGAGAAUGUGUAAGGGGAAAGAAAGAGAACCCCCUAAUAUUUGUGGGCUGUGAAAUUGUAAGGAUGGUUUGUAAAAGAGAAUCAAUGGGGAUAUAUAGCUAAAAUAGAUAUACUACAUGGUUCCACGUGUCAUUGGCACCAACAACUACUGCAAACUUGCCACUAAUGAAAAGAUAGUCAAAUAUAGAGUGCCUUAGACAAUAGCCUUGGAGUGGAAGGAUUAAAUUUUUUUUGCAGUAUUAAUAUCUUUAUUACUAACUUGAACAUUCCUUAGCAAAAAAAAGAUGGAAAAUUCACAAUAGACUAAGGGAAUAGAGCAGAUUCAAUCCCCAUGCCUAACUUAGAAAAAAUGGAAUAAACAACGUAGGUUGAAAUAACAAGGAUUCUAUGCUAUCAAAAAAUGCCUACCAACUUAAACGGUAAGUUAUUAGAUGAACUAUGCUUUACAUUAUUGUAUUACCUAUGUACAAAAAUGCCAUAGCUCUUGCAUAAAUAAGAAUGUAAAAAUGAAUGUAUGGUUAUAUUAGGAAUAUACUCCAACUAAUGGAGGUUAAAUCAAAUUGAAGGGAUGAAGAGCUAGAUGGUUAAUGUAGGGUGCUUAUGAAGUGGUAAUGUAGGCAAAAAAUGAAUUUUGGUUAUCAAUACUCCCAAAUGUAUUAAUUUAAUGUCAACUAUAGUGCCAGCUGACAAAAGAGGAAAAAAUAAAAGGUAAGAAAAUAUCUAAUUCUACACAAACUAAUGCAAGAGAAACUUCUCAGUUGAACAGUUUGCAUAAAUGAAAUUUAACCAUGAGAAUUAAACCUUAAAAUUUCAAAAGAGCUAUAAAUACGUCUACAAUCUUGCAAAAAAUUUAAUAAAUACUAAGUUCAAAUCCAUUUCCAUCCUUGCAAUAACAGUUUCUGUUGAACAUGAAAUUUUUCUGAAAAUCAGUGAACCCUAAACACAGAAGAGAAACAAUGAAACAUAUAAAAAUACAGGUAAAAGAAAAAAAAGAACAAACAUACAAAAGCAUAAACAAAAGAUAAAAAAAUAAAUAAAGGGAUCUCGUUGAAAGUUCAUAAACCCUAAACACAGAGAAGUAAUCGACCAAAAAGAAUAAAUGAAGGUAGAAAAAAUGAGAACAAAUACACACAACAAGAAGCAAGAGAUGAAGAUGACCCAAAAUCUCACUGGAAAUUGAUAAACUCUAAACACAUAGAAGAAAUCAAAUAAAGAGAAACAGAAAUAGAACAAAUCGAAGAAACAUACAACAAAAGGCAAGAGAAAAAGAUCCUUGAAUGAGUUACAGUACACAUUCUGUGCAAAUUUUGCCCUCUUUUGUAAAAUUUGAAGAGCGAUUUCAAGGAUGUUGAAUAAUAUUAAAAAGAAGUUGAAGGGUCUUCUCAAGAUUCCUAUUUCCCAGUUAGAACUGGGAUUUUUUUGAAGGAUUUACAAGAGUUCUCUAGAUCUUUGAGAUCGAGAGAAGAAGGAAAUUACGAUUGAUGGAAAAUUGCUGGAAUUGAAAAAAAUAUCUUGUUCGUAUUAUGAUUGCGGAAAAUAUCUAAUAUAACACGGCAUAUUUUCA
rnacentral:lncRNA from 1 species